GAGAGAAGGAUAUAUAGCAUAAUCAUGCUUCACCAUUCACAGGGCUUCCUGAGAAGACAAGAAACUCGCCACCAAACAUUUUAGAUAGCAAACACUCAAACAAACAAACAAACAAACAAAAAACUAUGGAUGAGCUGAAACUCAAGUGAAUAAGGAAAGCAGCAGAGGAAAUCAGGCACUGUUUCACUUAACUGAGAAAGAAGAGGAAAACGGAAGGACACUGUGAAUUAUAAUAGAUUCUCUGGGAAUGUAUAUAAAUAUAAUAGCAGAACAGGUGCAAGAAAGUGGAAGAAGGACCCCAGGCUCCCGGAGGAAUCCUUGGCAAACAUACACCUUUCUUCCAAUGGCUCACCUUAUUGAAGCAUCUACAGUUUUAAAAAUUCCUACAUUUCCCUGUGUCGCUGAAUGAUUAAGUUUUGCAUGUCAUGCUUGUGGGCAGCUUUUACUUAGUUAUAAAAAAUUCAACUGUAGAUGUGAGACCAGCUUCUUUGUGUUUCUGUUGGUCUACAAUUUUCUACUUCAAGUUGUAUGUGCUGGAGUAGCAGGAAUGAACAGCCUUGAUCUUUGAAUAUGUUUUGCUUAAGCUACAGACUAAAGUUUUAUGUUUUUUUUUUCUUUUGUCUGAGUUUUCCCAGUAGAAUGGAUGCAUGUUAGGAUUGGACAUGUUGCUUUGCUCAUUGAACCAAUGUGGACUCCUUAUAUAUUUGGUGAAUAAAUUAAAUUGAACAUAUGCUUUUGGA